rnacentral:rRNA from 1 species
UACGUAGGUUGCGAGCGUUAUCCGGAUUCAUUGGGCGUAAAGAGCUUGUAGGUGGCUAGGUAAGUUGGACGUGAAAACUCUGGGCUUAACUUGGAGAGGCCGUUCAAUACUGCAUAGCUAGAGGAUGUCAGAGGGAAGUGGAAUUCCUGGUGUAGCAGUGAAAUGCGUAGAUAUCAGGAGGAACACCCGUGGCGAAGGCGGCUUCCUGGGACAUUACUGACACUGAGAAGCGAAAGCUAGGGGAGCAAACGGG